rnacentral:lncRNA from 1 species
GUUAUUUUGAAAAUAUAUUUGCUGUUAGCUGUUAUUGUCUUAUUCUUUGUUAGCUGUUAUUGGGCUAUUAGUUUUUUUGUUAUCUGUUAUUGUGAUAAUGUAUUUGCUGUUAACUGUUAUUGAAAAUUGGAAUGUUAGCAUUUUUUUUUUGACAGUCAAUAUUCGGUAUAAAUUGAAGAUCAUUGGACAUUGUGGUCUACCACUACUAAUAUGUUUGUCCCGUAUUCAGAGAAGGAUUCCAUUAACAUUUACCCAUCACAGAAGUGAGGACCA